UAUAAUUAUUCAUUUAAUGUGACCCUUUUCAGUCUGAAUAAAUUUCAUAUAUUUUGUGCCCUUUUAUGAACUAUCUGUACCUUUUUUUCUGUCAACCACAGGUUAUUUUCCCUGCAGCCCCCGACACCAGUCAAUAUUGCUCUUCCAUAGAGGUUACUGAUAAAUUUGAUAGUAGGGGGGUUGGAGCUACAUAUAUUAAAAAAAAAUAGAAUGGCGCAGAAGUACAACUCACGCUGGAGGAGAAAGGUGAAGAGCCAGCAAAAUACUUGCAAAAGAUACAGAAGAAAGGACACACAAGGACAGGAAAAUAGAGAAGCAACAAACUGGAGGUCAGAUGAUUGCAGCACAGAGCAAGUGACCAGAUCUGCUAAUUUGGAAGAUUCUUCAAACACAAAUGUGUGUAACAUCCAUUACGCCAACCCUUCAUCCCAGUGCUAUGGACACACAAGUGAGAUGCAUCACUCUGGUCUUAAUGCUGAAUCAGAGCCUGAACAGCCUAUUUACAUGGAUAC